UCCCAGCCCCACGAUUGGUCGGGACGGUUAUUGGGCCUAAAGCGCCCGUAGCCGGCCCAGCAAGUUCCUGCUAAAAUCACCGGGCUCAACCCGGUGUUUGGUGGGAAUACUGUUGGGCUAGGAGGCGGGAGAGGCCGGGGGUACUCCUAGGGUAGGGGCGAAAUCCUAUAAUCCUAGGAGGACCACCAGUGGCGAAGGCGCCCGGCUGGAACGCGCUCGACGGUGAGGGGCGAAAGCUGGGGGAGAAAACCGG
rnacentral:rRNA from 1 species